rnacentral:rRNA from 1 species
AAGUCGAGCGGUAAGGCCCUUCGGGGUACACGAGCGGCGAACGGGUGAGUAACACGUGAGCAACCUGCCCCUGACUCUGGGAUAAGCGGUGGAAACGCCGUCUAAUACCGGAUACGACCCGCCACCUCAUGGUGGAGGGUGGAAAGUUUUUCGGUCAGGGAUGGGCUCGCGGCCUAUCAGCUUGUUGGUGGGGUAACGGCCUACCAAGGCGAUUACGGGUAGCCGGCCUGAGAGGGCGACCGGCCACACUGGGACUGAGACACGGCCCAGACUCCUGCGGGAGGCAGCAGUGGGGAAUAUUGCGCAAUGGGCGAAAGCCUGACGCAGCGACGCCGCGUGGGGGAUGACGGCCUUCGGGUUGUAAACCUCUUUUACCACCAACGCAGGCUUCCAGUUCUCUGGAGGUUGACGGUAGGUGGGGAAUAAGGACCGGCUAACUACGUGCCAGCAGCCGCGGUAAUACGUAGGGUCCGAGCGUUGUCCGGAAUUAUUGGGCGUAAAGAGCUCGUAGGCGGCGUGUCGCGUCUGCUGUGAAAGACCGGGGCUUAACUCCGGUUCUGCAGUGGAUACGGGCAUGCUAGAGGUAGGUAGGGGAGACUGGAAUUCCUGGUGUAGCGGUGAAAUGCGCAGAUAUCAGGAGGAACACCGGUGGCGAAGGCGGGUCUCUGGGCCUUACCUGACGCUGAGGAGCGAAAGCAUGGGGAGCGAACAGGAUUAGAUACCCUGGUAGUCCAUGCCGUAAACGUUGGGCGCUAGGUGUGGGGACUUUCCACGGUUUCCGCGCCGUAGCUAACGCAUUAAGCGCCCCGCCUGGGGAGUACGGCCGCAAGGCUAAAACUCAAAGGAAUUGACGGGGGCCCGCACAAGCGGCGGAGCAUGUU